rnacentral:rRNA from 1 species
UGCUGACGACCGGCGCACGGGUGCGUAACGCGUAUAGAACCUACCUUAUAUUGGGGGAUAGCCCAGAGAAAUUUGGAUUAAUACCCCAUAGUAUGCUGAAUUGGCAUCAGUUUAGUAUUAAAGAUUUAUCGAUAUAAGAUGGCUAUGCGUUCUAUUAGCUAGUUGGUAAGGUAACGGCUCACCAAGGCGACGAUAGAUAGGGGUCCCGAGAGGGAGAUCCCCCACACUGGUACUGAGACACGGACCAGACUCCUACGGGAGGCAGCAGUGAGGAAUAUUGGACAAUGGAGGCAACUCUGAUCCAGCCAUGCCGCGUGCAGGAAGACUGCCCUAUGGGUUGUAAACUGCUUUUAUAGAGGAAGAAACCGCUCUACGUGUAGAGCUCUGACGGUACUCUACGAAUAAGGAUCGGCUAACUCCGUGCCAGCAGCCGCGGUAAUACGGAGGAUCCAAGCGUUAUCCGGAAUCAUUGGGUUUAAAGGGUCCGUAGGCGGGCUUAUAAGUCAGUGGUGAAAGUUUGCGGCUCAACCGUAAAAUUGCCAUUGAUACUGUAGGUCUUGAAUCAUUGUGAAGUGGUUAGAAUGUGUAGUGUAGCGGUGAAAUGCAUAGAUAUUACACAGAAUACCGAUUGCGAAGGCAGAUCACUAACAAUUGAUUGACGCUCAGGGACGAAAGCGUGGGUAGCGAACAGGAUUAGAUACCCUGGUAGUCCACGCCGUAAACGAUGGUUACUAGCUGUUUGGACUUCGGUCUGAGUGGCUAAGCGAAAGUGAUAAGUAACCCACCUGGGGAGUACGUUCGCAAGAAUGAAACUCAAAGGAAUUGACGGGGGCCCGCACAAGCGGUGGAGCAUGUGGUUUAAUUCGAUGAUACGCGAGGAACCUUACCAGG